rnacentral:rRNA from 1 species
AGUGUAUGUUAGUAGCGGACGGGUGAGUAAUGCAUGAGAAGCUGCCAUUGGGAGGGGGACAACAGUUGGAAACGGCUGCUAAUACCCCGUAUGCCGGAAGGUAAAAGGGAGCGAUCCGCCUGAUGAGGUGCUCAUGUCCUAUCAGCUGGUUGGUGGGGUAACGGCCUACCAAGGCGACGACGGGUAGCCGGCCUGAGAGGGUGAACGGCCACACUGGAACUGAGAUAUUGUCUAGACUCCUACGGGAGGCAGCAGUGGGGAAUAUUGGGCAAUGGGGGCAACCCUGACCCAGCGACGCCGCGUGAGGGAAGACGGCCUUCGGGUUGUAAACCUCUUUUGUACGGGAAGAAGGAAGU